rnacentral:misc_RNA from 1 species
UUGAUUUAUUAAUUUUAAUCAUUUUCAGACAAAGUUGUUAAAAACAGAGUUUGUUAUAAAAUCCUUUGGCCAAAUCCCUGGUUAAAGGGCUCAGCCAAAGCAAAUGUUUUAUAAUCGUUCACAGGUGUUUGAAUAGAAAAACUGUCUUUCGACAAUAUAAUUCGUUAAUGAUCCUUCCGCAGGUUCACCUACGGAAA